GAGAGAGAGAGAGAGAGAGAGAAGGAGGUACUUUGCCACGAACGGCACAGAGUGCUGCUGGAGGAAGCAGUAGAGAUGGAGUUUCGAGUCAGACAGUGAAGAACCACAGACCUUCUCCUCUGCUGCCAACUUGUUAACGUCGAAUGGCAAAGUUACAGAUUGCCGUCGAAAGAGUACCAUUUCUUUUUCUACCUUUUCUUUUAUUCUCUUUCUAUUUCUCUCCCUCUCUCUCUCUCUCUCUCUCUCUCUCUCUCUGUCAAUCUCUGUCUUGCUUUUUCUCUUUCUCUUUUUACCAUCCCAGUCGUGGACCUCUCGCGCGAAACGACCACUAUCUUCUCGUUCGCAGGGUCGAGUAGAUAAAGUUGUCGUCGUUGUGUCGUCUUCGUUUCCGGCAACGAACCUACACUACGCUUUCUUUACUCUCCUUCUUUCUUCUUUUUCUUCUUUCUUACUUUCUUUUUCUUUUCUCCUUUUCCUUUUCUCCCGUUUUUCUUCCUUUUUCUUUUUUUUUUUUCCUUGAAUCUUUUUUUUCUUGAACCUUGGCCACGUUCAUAAAACGUUUGCUCUUAGUUUUACGAGGAAAGAUGCUCGAGUCUAGUUCAUCAUAACAUUAUUCGUGAUAUUUUUGAGAGAGAAUUAUAAUAAUUCAUCGUGUUUCUUGUUAAUAGAUCAAAGAAAACUGAUAAUCAUGUUAGCCAUGGAAAUAUAUAAUUAUUAUUAUUAUUAAUAUUAUUAUUAUUAUUAUUAUUAUUAUUAUUAUUUUACUUUUGUUUACAAGCUAGUAAAAGGAUUUACUCUCGGGUCCUUCAUCAAUCGGUUUACGCCGGCGUAGUCCGAUAACAAAAAGCAAGAGGCGUGGAAUCGAUCGCAAAGGACUUAACGAAAAUUUUACGCUUCAUUGAUCCUGCGAGAUCGUUCUGUCGCACGUCCCAUCUAGCGCGGACCAAAGUAUCAUCGUCUAUCGCGUAAUAUUUCUUUCCUCUCUCGAGCUUUUUCCCUCGAUCCUAUAUAAUCAUAGUGAAGAAAAGAAAAAGAAAAAGAAAAAGAAAAAGAAAAAGAGAAAAAAAAGAUAAAGAAAAGAAAUAUAACGAAGAAGAAAUAAGGACAUAAGAAAAUCAGCUCGAUCUUCGUUUACCUCGAGAAGCUCGUAAAAGCAUCGUAAAAGAACUCGAAUUCGAAAUUCUCUAUCGUCAAGAUAUCGGUACAAAAGAAAAAAAGAUUAAGGGUGCUUCGAAAAAUCUCUCUGUCCAUCGAUCUUCUCGAAGUCCCUUGUCGCACGUUCCAUCUGCGAGACGAAGCGAACGUAUCGGUGUUUUAUUAGAUCGUCGGGUAAAUUCCUCUUCUUUCUCUCUCUUUCUUUCCCCUCCCCCUCUCUCUCUCUUUCUUUUUCGAGAAUAACGUCAGUAUAUUAUAUCGUUCGACGUAUCUCGAUAACUCAAACUUUGUUGGUUGGUCAGUGCCGAGUAACCACUAUUGCCGGUGGCUACCAAUACUCUCGGAUGCGAAGGUAAAACUUUGAAACAACGCUGAUUCCGCAAGGAUUCUGUCCAGUAGACAUGGUCCAUUAAAACAACCACGAGGCAGUAUAUGACGACGGUAUAUCUGAUUUGAUGGACGCCAUGUCAAACUUCCCGUUGAUUGACGACAUGUUCGGACACGGAGGCUCGACCGAAACAUCACUGGUACUUCCCUCAUUUUUUCUUUCUUUUUACACGGAGAAAAAGAGAGAGAGAGAGAGAGAGAGAGAGAGAGAGAGAAGUUUAACGGACGUCCACUUAGCUCGUUCAGCAAACGAUGCAAUACCGUUACGAUGUAAAACGAGAUUUUAUAAAAUAAUUAGUUUUCAACGUUUUUCAAGAAUCGUUCGAGUCCCAUGUGCCCAUGGAAAUUGCGUUAUUCGGUUCUGCGACCAACAAGUCCUGGCCGCUGUAACAUGACACGUCGGCUGUGUUAUUUGCGCAACGUUUAAACGAUUUCCUCUCGAAACGAUCAAGCGACUCGUUGAUCCACUCGAAUGCAUAGAAAUAUAUUGCGAUUCGUGUGAAUCGAGAGAAUACCUCUCUCGGUGUGAUACUUUCUUCUGUUUUUAUCGUACACACGGUAUCAUUGAUACGGCUUUUUAUAUACGAAAAAUAACGAUACGUUAACGCAUUCCAGAUAGAUCACGUUAUAGAUAUCUCCUAUUUCGUAUUAUGUGUUAGUUACGAAUUUUUCGUACAAUCAAUAAUACGAUAUAACGAUUUAUUUUUUCGAUCAAGUUUAAAGUAUUUAAUUGUUUAUCUAAACUACCUAAAAUUAUAUAUAUGUAUAUAUAUAUAUAUUUUUUUUUUGUUGAUUUAAUUGGAUAUAGAUUACAUAGUUAUUGAGGAAUAACAUAAGAAAGAUUAUA